rnacentral:rRNA from 1 species
CUCGUAGUUGAAUUUCUGGUCAGUUGCAGUCUUGGCUUCGGUCGGGCUGUGAUUGGUCAUCCGUUUGCAAGCUGCGCUCGGCCUUCACUGGUUCGGCGUAGUGAGCUGACAUUUUACUUUGAAAAAAUUAGAGUGUUUCAGGCAGGCUUUUGCCCGAAUACAUUAGCAUGGAAUAAUGGAAUUGGACUUAGGUUCAUUUGGUUGGUUAUUGGACCUGAGUAAUGGUUAAUAGGGACAGUUGGGGGCAUUAGUAUUUAAUUGUCAGAGGUGAAAUUCUUGGAUUUAUUAAAGACUAACUUAUGCGAAAGCAUUUGCCAAGGAUGUUUUCAUUAAUCAAGAACGAAAGUUAGGGGAUAAAAGAUGAUCAGAUACCAUUGUAUUCUUAACUAUAAACUAUACCGACUCGGAAUUGGUAGGGUAUCUUAGCUCUAUCAGCACCGUAGGAGAAAUCAAAGUCUUUGGGUUCUGGGGGGAGUAUAGUCGCAAGGCUGAAACUUAAAGGAAUUGACGGAAGGGCACCACCAGGAGUGGAACCUGCGGCUUAAUUUGACUCAACACGGGGAAACUUACCAGAUCAAAACAUGGGUGGGAUUGACAGAUUGAGAGCUCUUUCUUGAUUCUAUGGGAGGUGGUGCAUGGCCGUUCUUAGUUGGUGGAGUGAUUUGUCUGGUUAAUUCCGUUAACGAACGAGACCUUAACCUGCUAACUAGUCCUUUAGUGCAUAACUGGAGGUACUUCUUAGAGGGACUAUCGGAUUUAAACCGAUGGAAGUUUGAGGCAAUAACAGGUCUGUGAUGCCCUCAGAUGUUCUGGGCCGCACGCGCGUUACAAUGGCAAGUUCAACAAGUACUAUCCUGGCCUGGAAAGGCUUCGGGUAAUCUUUAUAAUACUUGUCGUGUUAGGGAUCGAUCUUUGGAAUUAUAGAUCUUGAACGAGGAAUUCCUAGUAAGUGCACGUCGUCAGCGUGUACUGAUUACGUCCCUGCCCUUUGUACACACGCCCGUCGCUGCUACGAUUGAGUGAUCGGUAAACUUCUGGACUGCGGGAGCCUUGAGCUCAUUGCGGGAGUAGUAAACAUAUC